rnacentral:rRNA from 1 species
AACGAACGCUGGCGGCAUGCCUAACACAUGCAAGUCGAACGAGACCUUCGGGUCUAGUGGCGCACGGGUGAGUAACGCGUGGGAACCUGCCCUUAGGUUCGGAAUAACUCCCCGAAAGGUGUGCUAAUACCGGAUAAUGUCUUCGGACCAAAGAUUUAUCGCCAUUGGAUGGGCCCGCGUUGGAUUAGCUAGUUGGUAGGGUAAAAGCCUACCAAGGCGACGAUCCAUAGCUGGUCUGAGAGGAUGAUCAGCCACACUGGGACUGAGACACGGCCCAGACUCCUACGGGAGGCAGCAGUGGGGAAUAUUGGACAAUGGGCGAAAGCCUGAUCCAGCAAUGCCGCGUGAGUGAUGAAGGCCUUAGGGUUGUAAAGCUCUUUUACCCGGGAUGAUAAUGACAGUACCGGGAGAAUAAGCUCCGGCUAACUCCGUG